UACGUAGGGUGCGAGCGUUGUCCGGAAUUAUUGGGCGUAAAGAGCUCGUAGGCGGUGUGUCACGUCGGCCGUGAAAACCUGCAGCUUAACUGUGGGCGUGCGGUCGAUACGGGCAUCACUGGAGUUCGGCAGGGGAGACUGGAAUUCCUGGUGUAGCGGUGAAAUGCGCAGAUAUCAGGAGGAACACCGGUGGCGAAGGCGGUGGUCUGGGCCGAAACUGACGCUGAGGAGCGAAAGCCAGGGGAGCAAACGGG
rnacentral:rRNA from 1 species